rnacentral:misc_RNA from 1 species
GAUGAAGAACGUAGCGAAAUGCGAUAAGUAGUGUGAAUUGCAGAAUUCAGUGAAUCAUCGAAUCUUUGAACGCACAUUGCGCCCUUUGGUAUUCCUUAGGGCAUGCCUGUUCGAGCGUCAUUUAAACCCUUCAAGCUCAGCUUGGUGUUGGGUGACUGUCCGCCGCCCCCGGGCGCGGACUCGCCCCAAAUUCAUUGGCGGCCGGUACGUAGGCUUCGAGCGCAGCAGAAACGCGAACUCGGGCCCGCGGUGUCGGCUCCCAGAAGCCAUCUCUUUUAUUUUGAACUCGGAUCAGGUAGGGAUACCCGCUGAACUUAAGCAUAUCAAUAAGCGGAGGA